GAUGAACGCUGGCGGCGUGCUUAACACAUGCAAGUCGAACGGAAAGGCCCAAGCUUGCUUGGGUACUCGAGUGGCGAACGGGUGAGUAACACGUGGGUGAUCUGCCCUGCACUUCGGGAUAAGCCUGGGAAACUGGGUCUAAUACCGGAUAGGACGAUGGUUUGGAUGCCAUUGUGGAAAGUUUUUUCGGUGUGGGAUGAGCUCGCGGCCUAUCAGCUUGUUGGUGGGGUAAUGGCCUACCAAGGCGUCGACGGGUAGCCGGCCUGAGAGGGUGUACGGCCACAUUGGGACUGAGAUACGGCCCAGACUCCUACGGGAGGCAGCAGUGGGGAAUAUUGCACAAUGGGCGCAAGCCUGAUGCAGCGACGCCGCGUGGGGGAUGACGGCCUUCGGGUUGUAAACUCCUUUCGCUAGGGACGAAGCGUUUUUGUGACGGUACCUGGAGAAGAAGCACCGGCUAACUACGUG
rnacentral:rRNA from 1 species